AGUCAACCUACCCUAUGGACGGGAAUAAUCUCGGGAAACUGAGGAUAAUUCCAGAUAGAACACUACGCCUGGAACGGUUUGUGUUCCAAAUGAUUUAUCGCCGUAGGAUGGGACUGCGUCCUAUCAGUUUGUUGGUGAGGUAAUGGCCCACCAAGACUAUUACAGGUACGGGCUCUGAGAGGAGUAGCCCGGAGAUGGGUACUGAGACACGGACCCAGGCCCUAUGGGGCGCAGCAGGCGAGAAAACUUUGCAAUGUGCGAAAGCACGACAAGGUUAAUCCGAGUGGUUCCUGCUAAAGGAACCUUUUGACGGUCCUAAAAACACCGUUGAAUAAGGGGUGGGCAAGUUCUGGUGUCAGCCGCCGCGGUAAAACCAGCACCUCAAGUGGUCAGGAUGAUUAUUGGGCCUAAAGCAUCCGUAGCCGGCUCUGUGAGUUUUCGGUUAAAUCUGUGCGCUCAACGUACAGGCUGCCGGGAAUACUGCAGAGCUAGGGAGUGGGAGAGGUAGACGGUACUUGGUAGGAAGGGGUAAAAUCCUUUGAUCUAUUGAUGACCACCUGUGGCGAAGGCGGUCUACCAGAACACGUCCGACGGUGAGGGAUGAAAGCUGGGGGAGCAAACCGGAUUAGAUACCCGGGUAGUCCCAGCUGUAAACCAUGCAAACUCAAUGAUGCAUUGGCUUGAAGCCAAUGCAGUGUU
rnacentral:rRNA from 1 species